GAUGAAGAACGCAGCGAAAUGCGAUACGUAAUGUGAAUUGCAGAAUUCAGUGAAUCAUCGAAUCUUUGAACGCAUAUUGCGCUCUCUGGUAUUCCGGAGAGCAUGCUUGUUUGAGUAUCAGUAAACACCUCAACUUCCAUAUCUUUUUUGAAAUGGGAGUUGGACUUGAGUGAUCCCAACGCUUUUCCUCACCGAAAAGUGGCGGGUUACUUGAAAUGCAGGUGCAGCUGGACUUUUCUCUGAGCUAUAAGCAUAUCUAUUUAGUCUGCCUAAAAAACAGAUUAUUACCUUUGCUGCAGCUAACAUAAAGGAGAUUAGUUCUUGUGCUGACUGAUGCAGGAUUCACAAAGACAGCUUCGGCCGACUUUGUAAACUCGAUCUCAAAUCAAGUGAGACUACCCGCUGAACUUAAGCAUAUCAAUAAGCGGAGGA
rnacentral:misc_RNA from 1 species